rnacentral:rRNA from 1 species
UACGAAGGGGGCUAGCGUUGCUCGGAAUGACUGGGCGUAAAGGGCGCGUAGGCGGCUCAUACAGUCAGAUGUGAAAUUCCUGGGCUUAACCUGGGGGCUGCAUUUGAUACGUGUGGGCUUGAGUGGGGAAGAGGGUCGGUGGAAUUCCCAGUGUAGAGGUGAAAUUCGUAGAUAUUGGGAAGAACACCGGUGGCGAAGGCGGCGACCUGGUCCUUGACUGACGCUGAGGCGCGAAAGCGUGGGGAGCGAACAGG